rnacentral:rRNA from 1 species
UAGGGAAUCUUCCGCAAUGGGCGAAAGCUUGACGGAGCAACGCCGCGUGAGUGAGGAAGGUCUUCGGAUCGUAAAACUCUGUUAUUAGGGAAGAACAAAUGUGUAAGUAACUAUGCACGUCUUGACGGUACCUAAUCAGAAAGCCACGGCUAACUACGUGCCAGCAGCCGCGGUAAUACGUAGGUGGCAAGCGUUAUCCGGAAUUAUUGGGCGUAAAGCGCGCGUAGGCGGUUUUUUAAGUCUGAUGUGAAAGCCCACGGCUCAACCGUGGAGGGUCAUUGGAAACUGGAAAACUUGAGUGCAGAAGAGGAAAGUGGAAUUCCAUGUGUAGCGGUGAAAUGCGCAGAGAUAUGGAGGAACACCAGUGGCGAAGGCGACUUUCUGGUCUGUAACUGACGCUGAUGUGCGAAAGCGUGGGGAUCAAACAGG